GCAUGACAGUCGCCGCAUGGAUACACGUCCCAGAUAGGACAAUCCACAGACAUGGGAAUGUUGAAGUCUCAUACACGAAGCAUAAUAGACAUAUAGGUUCCAAUGACUCAACUCCCGGAAGUGGAGAUUAAAAUCCAAGCUCUAACGCUCAAGAGGAGAUUAUGAUCCACAUUCUCUCAAUUAUGACUAUCCUGGAAGAGAUAGCGUCAUGCCCUUG
rnacentral:lncRNA from 1 species